CCCUUAGAUGUUCUGGGCCGCACGCGCGCUGCACUGAUGCAUUCAACGAGUUUUACCUUGGCCGAGAGGCCUGGGCAAUCUUUUAAACCUGCAUCGUGAUAGGGAUAGAUUAUUGCAAUUAUUAAUCUUGAACGAGGAAUUCCUAGUAAACGCAAAUCAUCAAUUUGCAUUGAUUACGUCCCUGCCCUUUGUACACACCGCCCGUCGCACCUACCGAUUGAAUGGUCCGGUGAAAUCUCGGGAUUGUGGCCAGUUCACUUUAUUGGGAGUUGGCUGCGAGAACUUGCCUAAACCUUAUCAUUUAGAGGAAGGUGAAGUCGUAACA
rnacentral:rRNA from 1 species